rnacentral:rRNA from 1 species
UACGAAGGGGGGCUAGCGUUGCUCGGAAUUACUGGGCGUAAAGUGCACGUAGGCGGUCUUUUAAGUCGGGUGUGAAAGCCCUGGGCUCAACCUAGGAAGUGCACUCGAAACUGCUUCGCUUGAGUGUCGGAGAGGAAAGCGGAAUUCUCGGUGUAGAGGUGAAAUUCGUAGAUAUCGAGAGGAACACCGGUGGCGAAGGCGGCUUUCUGGACGAUAACUGACGCUGAGACGCGAAAGCGUGGGGAGCAAACAGG